rnacentral:rRNA from 1 species
GAUGAACGCUGGCGGCGUGCCUAAUACAUGCAAGUCGAGCGAACCACUUCGGUGGUGAGCGGCGAACGGGUGAGUAACACGUAGGUGAUCUGCCCAUCAGACGGGGACAACGAUUGGAAACGAUCGCUAAUACCGGGUAGGACGAAAGUUUAAAGGUGCUUCUGGCACCGCUGAGGGAUGAGCCUGCGGCGCAUUAGCUAGUUGGUAGGGUAAAGGCCUACCAAGGCGACGAUGCGUAGCCGACCUGAGAGGGUGAACGGCCACACUGGGACUGAGACACGGCCCAGACUCCUACGGGAGGCAGCAGUAGGGAAUCUUCGGCAAUGGGCGAAAGCCUGACCGAGCAACGCCGCGUGAAUGAUGAAGGCCUUCGGGUUGUAAAAUUCUGUUAUAAGGGAAGAACGACUUUAGUAGGAAAUGGCUAGAGUGUGACGGUACCUUAUGAGAAAGCCACGGCUAACUACGUGCCAGCCGCCGCCGUAAGAC